ACACCUGGGCUGUUCUCACAUCUCUGCCACUGAUUUGUGGUAUGACCUUGAGCAAAUAAUUUUCCCACCCAACGUUCCUCACCUGUAAGUUAGGGAUGAUACCUUACAAGGAUAUAGAUAGAGGCACAAAAGAAUAUUUAGACAUCUGUCUAGGAAGACCUUUUCUUUCUGUGCCAUCUCUAUUCAUGACUGCAAAGACAGAAUAGAACUGAAGACUGUUCACAUUCCAUAGACUGUUCUGCUUUUGCAGAGCCUUUGAAACAAGGUAGGGGAGGUAAUAUCUUUUACUGGACCAACUUCUGUAUCGGGUUUAUGGGAGCAUGUGACGGUUUCUUAUUCGAAGGGGUCCCUUCUGAAGUAUCUAAGGUGCAGGAGAUGGUUCCUCAGUUUUUCUGAAGUCCUCCUGCAGAGCUGUUCAGCAUAUUUGAAGUUGUAUCUAGUGGUCAGGGGGUUACAGAUGGUAAGUCCUCUGGGGAUGAUGUUUUGUUUCUUGCAUCAGGAAGUAGAUGUUUCUGUUUAGUCUGGCUUCCUUCUUCAUGCUGUGAAGUUUCCAUUUUAAACAGCAAAAUUCAAUAUCUUUCACGUUGUUUGCAGUGUUGGUCCCAGGAUAUGACACACACAAGACAAGUGAGGUAAUAUAUCUUAUUACUACUACAAAGGCAGCCAUUGGAAGAGAUGGAAAUCAAUAAAAUUAAUAACGUGUAUGUAAAUACAACGUAAGUAUUGCACCAAUAGAAGCUAGGACCUCACCUACCUCGUUUUUGAUAACCUGGGAACAACAAGGCUACAACACUGCAAACUGCUUUCCAUUCAUGACUCAGCAAAGUGAUGCAAUUGGAAAGAAAUCUCUUUCCUCAUUCCUCCUUUGCCUAGGCAGGUUUUAACUCUCUUUAGCGUGCUGGAUCAGAGAAGGGAGAGACGGAGUAGGAAGACAGUGCUUCUGCAGGGAAAACAGCCUGAGUUUCAGAAAUGUUGCAUUAGUACAUGCAAAGUUAAAACAUUCCUACAUUUAUAUUCACGUGGUCAUGUGAGCUAAUACAGAAUGGUUAGAGUGAUACGCUUCAGAAAGUUAGGCAGUCUUGAAGUUUUCUGCCUACCUCCACAUUCCUCCUCCAACAGUACAUCACUCUGAAAACUUGCGAAAGGAACAAACUACAGGUCAUGAUCACCUGGUCACUGAAAACUCCAUGCUGAAGAGGUGAUGCUACAGCAACAAGCAGCAGCAGCAGGACAGACCGGUGGAAAGAACAGCAUUUUUGCACACUCCUGAAUGCAAAGAAAAUACUACGAAGGCAGCCGCUGGGAGAGAAGGCGAUCAAUGAAAUUAAGACCUUGUAUGCAAAUACAACACAGUAAGGACACGGCUCCAGAGAAAAUCCUUGCUUGCAGAUCACUGACCUGCACUGACCCUGGAGGAAAAAAGUGCUCUUCCCACACUACUCCUGGAUGACAGCCAGGAGUGCACUGGCAGCAACUACAGAAGCUGAGUGGGACUUGACAUGAGGCAAGUCUACAAACUGAUCUAUAAAGACCUACAUGGUUAAGAACCAGAAAGUUACCAUCUCGGAGUUGUCACAGAAGUUGGUCAUCUACCAGUUUUAAGGUUAGGCAGUCAGGAGCUUGGUGAGAAGACAUUCUUCACAGAGGUGUUCACUACAUCUGGUCCAGCACUGCUUUAACUUGUUAACCUUUAGGGCACAAUUCAAGACAUUUCUUUUUUCAGGCUUUUGUCUAUAGGUGAGCUGAGGGUAGCCUGCUCUGGGACUUGUCCUUCACAUGACUAGUAUGCACAGAGAUGUCCAACUGAACAUAUUUUAGUAAGUAAAGAGUCAGUGCAGGGUAGAGUCUUCCCCCUUCAACACAUUUUCUGCAGCUUCCAAAAUAAAAAUGUAAGCAACAGCUGCCUCUAUAAAAUCAUGACAAUAAUCCCAUACAGUACACAGAUUAGAUACAUAAACAUAAUCCACUAGAAAAAGGUUUGGACAUCACAGAUUCAGUUGUUUGCAAAUACCUGUGCAAGGAGAUUUUUGGCCUAAGUAUUUACCAGCAAAAAGUUUGCUAAAAUUGAUGUUAUGACAAAUAUUUACUUCAUAUGAAAAACCCUAUGUCUCAGUUUCAAGCAAAAUAAACUAUCAACUGGAUACAACUGUUCUUGGUCAAACUUCACAUUAUUGGGAACCAGCAUUCAGAUGAUGCUGAGCAAACAAGAAAAACACUGGCAGGCCCUUGGAUGUGUCUUGGUGUAGUAAAUGCCCAUAAAAAAGUUUGGCACUUGUGUUCUUGGCGAACAUACACUAACCUCUUUCAUGUGCUUU